GACGAACGCUGGCGGCGUGCUUAACACAUGCAAGUCGAACGGAAAGGCCCUGCUUUUGUGGGUUGCUCGAGUGGCGAACGGGUGAGUAACACGUGAGUAACCUGCCCUUUACUUUGGGAUAACUUCAGGAAACUGGGGCUAAUACCGGAUAGUAGCUCCUGCUGCAUGGUGGGGGUGGGAUAGUUUCGGCGGUUGGGGAUGGACUCGCGGCUUAUCAGCUUGUUGGUGGGGUAGUGGCUUACCAAGGCUUUGACGGGUAGCCGGCCUGAGAGGGUGACCGGCGACAUUGGGACUGAGAUACGGCGCAGACGCGUGCGGGAGGCAGCAGGGGGGAAUAUUGCACAGUGGGCGGAAGCCUAAUGCAGCAACGCCGCGUGCGGGAUGACGGCCUUCGGGUUGUGAACCGCUUACGCCUGUGACGAAGCGUGAGUGACGGUAAUGGGUAAAGAAGCACCGGCUAACUACGUG
rnacentral:rRNA from 1 species